rnacentral:rRNA from 1 species
GACGAACGCUGGCGGCGUGCUUAACACAUGCAAGUCGAACGGAAAGGCCCUGCUUUUGUGGGGUGCUCGAGUGGCGAACGGGUGAGUAACACGUGAGUAACCUGCCCUUGACUUUGGGAUAACUUCAGGAAACUGGCGCUAAUACCGGAUAGGAGCUCCUGCUGCAUGGUGGGGGUUGGAAAGUUUCGGCGGUUGGGGAUGGACUCGCGGCUUAUCAGCUUGUUGGUGGGGUAGUGGCUUACCAAGGCUUUGACGAGUAGCCGGCCUGAGAGGGUGACCGGCCACAUUGGGACUGAGAUACGGCCCAGACUCCUACGGGAGGCAGCAGUGGGGAAUAUUGCACAAUGGGCGGAAGCCUGAUGCAGCAACGCCGCGUGCGGGAUGACGGCCUUCGGGUUGUAAACCGCUUUCGCCUGUGACGAAGCGUGAGUGACGGUAAUGGGUAAAGAAGCACCGGCUAACUACGUG